CCAAUGGAUUUUUCUCUCCUUUUCUUGCUGGCUCCACCAGUACUUCCCAAUCAUCAUGCUUAUUUGAUCACACAGCUCCUUCAUCAAAUCAAAACAUCCCAUGGCAAAGGUGGGAAUAGCUUGUGCCACAGCCUUAAUCAUCACCUCCUUCCCUGCUCUUGACAACAUUUUUUCCUUCCACCCUUGAAUUCGUUUCCAAAUCCGUUCCUUCAGGGCCUGCAUAGUCUACCCUUUUCGCAGCCGCUGUAUUUGGACUAAACAUCACAGUGGACUUCUCCUUGUUGAUCAUCUGUCCCGAGCACUCCUCAUAUACUUCAUUUUCCAACAGCGCUGAGAAGCCUUCUGCACAUAGGAGGAACAAAUAUGGUGAUAAUGGGUCGCCUUGGCGGAGGCCUCUCUCCGGGAAGAAAGCUUCUGAAAGCUCUCCAUUAACUCUUAUUCUGUACGAAACUCUUACAUUUGCUUGGAGUACUAUUUGCUUAUUAAGUUAACUUUCAUGUAGUUCCCUCUUUUGUGGAUCAUAUGACACCCAUGACAUAUCAAAGCCCAUAUACUUUAGAGCCCAUAUGGCCUAUGAGGACUUUCUACAUAUACACAUAAUCCGUAAUGGGCCAAUUGUCUUAUGAAACUCCCAAGUUUAGUAACAGAACAUCAUGUUUAAUUAGCAAGCACAUGUCUGUUUAGCUACACUGUGUUCCUCUAUUCUUGAGAUUUCCAGAAGAAUUGGUUGGUGCCUGCUUGCUUAUAGCUUGCACGAUUAUUGUGCAAUUCUGCAAUAUUAUGCCGUUCUCUUCGCCAAUUCUGCAAGCUAAGCUCAUGUGUGCCGCACAAUUAUUUUGCUAUCUUCUUACGUAGACAGGAGAUUGGAGCAAUAUUAUGGCCUCUUUUGUUUCUGAUUAUCUGGAGCUUAUUUUUCUAAGAAGCAAGAUUAUAAGAGA